rnacentral:lncRNA from 1 species
GUUGCCAUGUUGUGAGGCCACUUAAUCGGCCCUAUGGACAGGUCCAUGUGGAAAGAAACUGAGGCCCACUGCCAACAGGCAGCAAGAACUGAGGCCUCCUGCCAACAGCGAUGUGAGUGAGCCGUGCUGGAAGCUGAGCUGAUAGUCCUAGUCAUGCUUUCAGCUGACUGGAGCCCCAGCAACAUCCAGACUGUAACCUCAGAAGAGACUCUGAGCCAGAAUAACCCAGCUAAGCUGCUCCCAGAUUCCUGACCCUCAGAAACCGUGAGAUAAUAAAUGUUUAUUGUUUUAAGUCUGUAAGUCUUGGGGGAAUUUGUUAUACAGCAAUAGUUAAUUAAUAUAAUGUCUUUAAUUUCUUCCUGAUUAUCACUUUGUCACUAGAUCUGCCACAUUAUCUACUCUGUCAAGUCUAAUUAUUUUUUUCCUGGAUCCUUCUCCCUUUCGGCUCCCAUCUGGACUGGUUACUCUUGAGAGCUGCAGCAGAGCUGUCAUCUUCCCAGCCUGCUGAGGGCUCACUGGUUCCUGGAUCCCUUCUCUUUCCUUCUCAUUCCUUUUCUUCACUUUUAUUCUUGCCUUUCCCUGAAACCCAUCAACUACUACUAGUUAAGAAAAGGUGUAUGAGAGAGAAAUUUUCUUAAUCCUUGCAUAUCUAAAAAUGCUUCGCCUGCUUUCAUUCUAGAUCAGUAAUUUGGUUAAUUAUACAAUUGAAGGUACAAAACUGUUUCCUCUUAGAAUUUUGAAAUCAUUGAUUACUCUUCUAUCAUCCGAUGUCAUAUUUGCUGUCCAACCAUUUUCAUUCUUGUUCCCUUGUGUGUUACAUAGUUUUUCCCUCCUUGGAAGUUCUAGGCACCCCUAUUUGUCCUUAUUGUGGUGGAAUUUUAUGAUCAUGAGCCUUGGUAUAUAAGUUAGGACGCUUUGCUGAAAGUAAAGAAAGCCCCAUUAAAAUGACUCAUACUACAAGUGGAUUUAUUAUCUUGUGUAAUAAGAAGUCAUGAGAUAAGGUGACUCUGGGGUUGAUUCACUUAGUGGCUGAGUUACAUCCUCAGGGACCCAGGUUUGAAAAAUCGAUCUGUUCUGCCAGAAUACAUUGGGUAACUUCCUUUGUGGCCGAAAUACGGCAGCAGUUUAUAUUCUAGAGGCAGAAAUUGGGAUUAUCUCUUCCCCUGACUCUUCUUAAAACUGUAGGAUAUUUCCCAGAAUCAAUCCCAUCCUCAGCAGACUUUCCUUCAUGGCCCUAUGGCUAAAAUUAGGUGUUCUGGCCCUUCCUAAAUGAAUCGCUAGACAAGGGGAAUAAAAUUAAUAUGAUUGUCUUAGACUAAUCAAGAUUUAUUCCCCAAAUCUGAAGAUGAGGUCAGUUUUCCCUGACAACAUGACUUGCAGUGGAACGUGGGGAUUUUCAGUAAAAUCUGAAUCUUAUUACAAGGAAGAGUAAGGCAACCAAAAUUGUCUGCUACAGCGGGUGUGGGCUUUCCUGUCAUUCAUUGUGAUGGGGACCUAAUGGUUUCCCUUCUAAAAACCUGUUGAGUUUCCUCUGUACUGAUAUCCCUCUUCUGUGCUCUUUGUCCUUGUGGGUUUAUGACAUUUUGUUCCUUUAUUACCAUUUUAAUAGGAUCUCUGAAGGGAGAGGUGAUAAAUGUGUGUGUUCAAUCUGUCAUCUCUAAUUGGAUGCCCCCAGCCAGUGUUUUCCAAACUGUGAGUUGUAACCUGUUAGUAAGCUAUGUCCAGUAUUUUAAAAAACGAAACAGAAUAGAAAAUACCAGAUUGUUUGUAUUGCAUAUAGUAAGGUUAAAUAUUGUUUCAUGAAAUGUUUGUUUCAGUUGAGUGUGCGUGUGUGUGUGACCUGGCCAGGCAUGUUAUGUGUUUCUUGCUAUAAGUUGCAAACAACAAUUUUUGGGAAGCAUUGCUUUAAAGAAAUAUCUUUGAGCAUUUUGUGCUCUAUGGUGCUGUCUUAUUUGGGUUGGUUUUACAGAUAUGUGAGGCUAGGAGAACACAGGAAGCACAUCAAACUUCAAUAGGUUUGAAAUAAGGUGGUAUAUGCAUGAGGAAAUGGCCUUGCUGUCUCACAGAGAAACUCAAAAUCCCAUGGAAAUAAAUGUGUUACCAUCAUCAUCCUAUUAAUUUCUGUUUUCCAAAGGAAGAAACUGCCAUCCAGAAAUACACUCAAUGCCCACGCAAGGUGGCAGGCGGGUGGGCCCGAGACUCACAUUUCUGGCCACCGAAUGCGGAGCUUGUGUAAGAUCUACGUGCCCUCCCCUCCCCCUCUGCUUCCAGGCAUAACCUGUCCAUUCAGCAAACAUCUGUCAAAGGCUGCAUUCCCCAAAUGUUUGGAGAGCCUGAGACAGAAAGGAUGCUAGGCUUCUGCUGAGUUACAUAACGUAGUAGGAUCAAGGUUUGUUUUCGAGGCUUUUCACUCAAUCUUGCCAUUUCCAGGCAGCUGUGUUCUUCAAAGACUAAUGUGUAUUUCCUAUGCCUAAAGAUUUUCAGGAAGUAAAACCAUCUUUCUGUGAAAUCAAUGUUUUUAGAUCAAAAUGUGUCGUGAUUGGGAAGCUCUUGCUUCUGUCUGGGUGCGGGCACCAUCGGCCACUCUGGUAACAUGCAUGGAAACCUCGUAUUUAGUUCCCAUCCCGGGGCGAUAGGGCUGGCCUGGAGGACUUCUCAGUCCGGCUGCUCCUGUCUCCUCAAUGGCCGUUACCAUGGUGUUCUGCCUUCUCUGCUGCCCUUCCUUGUUUUCAUUUUGUCAUUCUUGUUACAUUGUAUUUUCUGCUUUUCAUUGGUAAAAUUCUUUUUUUUUAACAGGUUAUUGAAAUAUCUUUGACAUAGAAAAAUUCUAUAUAUUUAAGGUGUACAACUUGAUGUUUUAAUAUAUGUAUACUUUGUAAAAAGAUGACCACAAGCAAGCUAAUUAACAUAUUCAUCACCUCUACAUAGUUACCAUUGUGUGUGUGUGUGUGUGUGUGGUGAGAAGAUUUUAUUUCAGAUCUAUCCUCUUCACAACUUUCAAGUAUACAAUACAGUAUUGUUAACUACAGUAUAGUCACUAUACUAUGCAUUAGAUCUCUAGAACCUAUUCAUCUUGUAUAACUGAAACCCUUUGACCAACAUUAUCCCAUUUCCCCCUCCCCUCUGCCCCUGGUGACCACUGCUCUACUCUCUACCUCUAUGAAUUUGACUGUUUUAGAUUCCAUAUAUAAGUGAGAUCAUACGGUAUCUCUCUCUCUAUGUCUGGCUUAUUUCACACAGCACAAUGUCCUCCAGGUCCGUCCAUGUUGUGGCAAAUGGUAGGAUAUCCUUCUUUUUAAAGGCUGAGUAAUAUUUCGUUAUAUAUUUAUCUAUCUCACCUUUUCUUUAUCCAUUUGUCUGUCAAAGGACACUUAGGUUGUUUCCAUAUCUUGGCUACUGUGAAAAACAAUGGGAAUGCACAUAGCUUUUCAUGAUCCUGAUUUCGUUUCCUCAGGAUAUGUACCCGGAAAGGGGAUUGCUAGAUCAUACAGUAGUUCUAUUUUUAAUUUUUUGAAGAUCUUCCAUAUUGUUAUCCAAAUGGCUGUACUUAAAGUUCUUUUGUUAAUCUAUAUCUACUUCCCCCAACAUUUUCUCCUUCUUCCCUUUUUAACUUAUCCAGUUAUUUGUCUUCACUGGUUGUUGUUUCCUCCCUACUGUCCCUGUUUUAUUCAUUCCUCUUCUUUCUUUGUCCCCGAACACUUUGUGCUUCAACUUUUCUCUUCUCUUCCUUACCUCCUCCCAUGCAUGCUUCCCCCUGUCUUUCCCCAAAGCCUUUUGACAUCCUCCUUACCACUCACUUAAAAGGCCUAGAAUGGGCAGAACACCGUUCAGAGACAGAAGGCAGUGGGGCAGGACAGCCUGGUGGGGAUAACUGAUGAGGAGGCUCUGAAUAUCAGAGCUGGGCCCCCCCAGAAGAAGGGACUCCCCAGCCAAGUCUUGUCCAAUAACUUCUUCAUAGGUUACCCAUAUGACAUCAUAAAGUUCACUUUUUACCAAAUUUGGUGGCUACUCAACAUUGGGAGACUAGCAACAGUAGGGUGCCAGAGUCAAGAUCUGAAAACAUCUUGAAAGGCUUGAAGAUGGGCUGAGUCUAAUAAGGAAAAAGCCACUUUCUUCACUUGGAUGAGAAAAUGAAUGGCACAAGACCAGGAUGGGGGAGAUGUCAGUGAGCAGUAAAAAAGACUUAAAAGUUUUUAGCCAAGAGUAGAGUAAAAAGGAGCCACCAGCAGGUAUGACCCUGUCCCCUACAAAAGCUCAUCUGAGGUUAGGCUACAUUAGAAAAGCUCAAUGUCUGGGGUAAGUCAUGCUGCUCAGGAACUACACAUAAGAGGGAAACAGCCAACCAUCCACAUUUGCCAAGAGCAACCGGGAGGGUAAGGAGCUGGAAACCAGACCAUGCCAAAUAAGUUGAAAGAACUAGGGAUGGAUAGGGAGGUGAAGAAGGAUGUGAUAACCACAUUCAAAUAUUGAGGAAGAGAAACUAGACUUAUGGCUCCAGGGAGGAGGACUAAAUUCCCUGGACUCAGACUUCGUUUUCAACAUAAGGAAGUACUUGGCAGCAGUCAAGGGUGUCCAAAGAUGGUCUGGACUGCUUCAUGUAGAAGUUGUCCCUCUUGUUGGAAAAGUCCUAGUGCUUGGUGGAAUGUUUCCAGAGAGAUUCAUACAUUGGAUAUUCAGUUGAACAAGAUGCCAGUCGUAACCUUUUAUGGUUGAUACUAAUACUAAUAACAAUAGUAAUAACUAACACUAAUUGGCUGGCUGCAUGGUGCCCAAUGCAAUCCUUGCAACAACACUAUGAGAUACUUACUAUUAUUACUAUCAUUUUAGAGAGGAGGAAACGGGUUUAGGGAGGUAAAGAAUGUGCCCUAAAUCACAGACGGUGAAGAAUAAGGCCUCAUUGGUGAGUGGGAGUAAAAAUCUAACGGCUCAGGUCAAGAGAAUAUCUAAUGGUAGUUUAGUACAGACAUGGGAAGGCUGGAGUGGAGUUGAAUGGUUUCCUCCAUUAUGGCUGCAAACAACAAGGGCAGAUGGUUUCUGUAGUCUGUAUAGGAGUGGUCCAGCAGCGAAGCCCAAAGGCACAGAGCAGAGCUGUCUCCUUUAGCUAGGUGGAAUGAGUCUUCAAGCAACCAAUCAAUCAAUCACACAAUAUAAUUUUUGUCUGCCUUAAUAGUUUUUUGGAUAAUUUAUGGGGAGAAUUUCAUGAAAACCACAACUGAUCUUUGAAUUACAGUACCAAUAAGUUUGCUUCUGAUGCCUACAUGAUUGGAGAGGAAUGGUUCAGUCCUUCAGUAUUCCCUGCAUCAACAGCUAAUAUUUUUUACUUCUCAAUAUUUAAAAUUCAAACAAACAGACUUGGAGUUCUUUUAUAUUUUGUCCAGCUUUUAAAUUGUCGUCAGUGGGAAACUUAGUCUGAAUCCCUAGGCCAACGCUGUUGGAAAUUGGAGGCCCUCCCAGCAACGUGAAGUUCCCCAUUCAGUUCCAAGCGUUCUAUUCUAGAUUGCGAGUGUUAUUUCUAUAAUUAGCAUGUCCCCAGUUUAGAGGCUCCGUAGUCCUUUUCGCUGGAAGCCAUUGGCUUGAAUGAGGAAGGAGGAGGGCCCACAGGCACAUCCCAGUGGCCAAGUGGACAGCCUUGGGGCGCUCAGAGGUCCUGGCACUUGUUAGCCAGUCUUGCUAGCCUGCUGCUCAAGGCCUGCACCUGGCUCUCAGUAGGCAGGAUUUGAAAACAAAAUAUAUGUGAAUGAAGCUCAAUAAACAGUGAUCACUCCAUAAAGAAACACCAGGCAUAGCAACAGACUGAACGAUAGCACAGUGCAGCCCAGGGACUAGCUCAGGACUCACUGCUGUGUCCUGAGGCCGGGGUGGGGUGGGGGUGGUGCCUCAGGGAGGAGAGGAGAGGAUAGGGAGACUGGAGUUCGGGUCAGGGUGGGGAGGAGAAUGGAGUGAGAACCCUGUGGCCUGUGCAUGUGGUGAAAGCACAGUACUGGGAGUUUGGUCACUUGUCACCUUCAGCUUGACACUCAAAUCCGCCCAGGCCUUUUGGGGCAGAGACUAUCAUUCAAAGGUCUCCCAGUCCCCUGGCAUCAUCAGUUGGGGCUGUUCCAAAGAGCUUGUGGGGAGAAAAGAAUAAUAAGAUUGCACAAGUCCCCUUUGCUCCCUGCCUCUGGUGACCUGGACUGAGGUAAGGCCCAGCCCACUGCUCCAGGUUUUUCUUGUCAGCAUGCAGAGCCCUCUGCUCAGGUGGGACACCUUGGUGAAGCAGAAAGAGGUGUGCUGCAGGAGGAGGGACAAAGGCCACCCUUGUUUACGGGAGCCCUUUGAGAUGCAGAGCUGCUCUCACAGGGGAUGCCCAAAUGCCAGCUCGCCUCUGUCCUGUGGAAGGAUGCCACGUUCUUACCUCUCUGGCAAGGCCCUGGGGUGUGAGCUGGGAGUGUGAUGCAUGUCUGUUCAGAGCCAAGCACUGGUCUCAGAACUGGGUCACCCCAUGGACAAACAAAGAUGAUAUAUCCCGAUUGGUAGGAUAGGAUUUCGUCUUUCCUUGUAAAACCCCGCCGUGCCCCCAGCGUCUGCCAGCAUCAAGGCGCUCCUUUGUCCUCUCGUUCCAGAAGGCUGAAGAGUGAAGUGACACAGAGGGCACAGCGCCCAAAGUCUCCCCACACGCCUCUCUGUUCAAGGCCCUGGGCAUCUGUGCUGGCUUCUUUGCCUAGAGGCCACGGAACCCAUCAAACGCGGUCUAAGGGGGCAGGAGGUGUUGGCUUCUCUCGAAAGCCUGUAUCUCCACAGUUUUAUAUUGCUAGCAUGUGCUGGGGCACGCAGCCUGGCUUUUCCAAGAGCAGUGUUUCACUGGCACAGCUUUGCGCUUGGAGGGAUGUUUCUCUCUCUUCCAUCCCGCCCUCCCCCGUGUCUUUCUAACUUGUUUUUCUGCUGACAUGGAAGCCCAGUGCUUUUGCUCUUUGAGACACCCUGUAAUUGGAAAAAGGGAAUCUGCGCUGAGUUAUGAGUUAGCACAUGCUGCCCUCUAACGGCUCCUGCCUUCUCGGCUUCCAGGCUCCGUUGGGAACAGACGCCCCAGGCCUUCAUGGAGGGUCCGCAGCAAGAUUCCUUCUGAGUAAGCUGUCUCUUUCCCUCCAGCCAGCUCAAAGAACCAGCCCUUGCUCUUGAGGUGGAAGAUGUCAAAAGUCAGGCAGCUUUGAUGUGUGUGGCUGUGAGAGAAACGGCCUAAUGUUUCACUGCCAGAUGUGAAAUGACUGGACUCUUCUAGUCCAGGAGCACUCCUUGGACCCACCUAUCCUAUUGCUCAUCCUUUCCACCUGCUCCCUUACAGCUCCUUGCUGGGUCUUGAGAGGCAAGCACAGUGCCCUUGCUGCUCCCUUAUAGCUCCAUGCUGUGCACACAAAGGGGCUUCCUUCUCCUGCCCUUCUGGCAAGAGAGGCUUGGGGGUGAGGUGAGGCAUGGGGUAACUGCUGCUGAAACACCCCUCAGACUUUCCAGUUGGCGUCUCGAGAACCAACUCCAAAGCCAAGAGAGUGAGGGAGAACACAGAAACCUCUCGAAAUAACAUCUGUUGAGUUAAUGUUUGAAGAACUUGAAGAAAGUGUUUGGACAUAGUCCAGUUCUGUUUCUAGGGAAAUCUAGGACUUAAUCAAGGAACAAAGUUCAUAGGUGUGGGAGGAAAAAUUAGGAAACAUUUUGUUUUGGUAGCUGGAAAGCUUGCCUCCAGAAGUGAUGGAAAGAAGCUCAAAGAGGAACUCGUAUCUUUCUCCAAUUGGCCCAAAUCUGGCAAAAGUGAAGCAUCAUGCUUCGAGCUCUGCUGCUCGCAGGAAACAACAUGGAAGUUGGUAUUCGCAAGCUGAGAUUGUUUUAUGUGGUGAGGCUUCUUGAGGGAAAAAGGCUUGUGUGAAUCAGAGAGAAGAACUGGCUUCUUCAGGUUUUCUUAAAUUGGAGGGGGGUGGUCACCGAGAUUAGUGCACCAGUUCCUGGGGAGCUGGGAUAGCUGUUUGGUGGGGGCAAGCCUUCACUCUCUUCUGUCCUCUGGAGUGGGCAUGGAGCACAGAAGGCAGAGAAGGUGGGAUUGAAAUUUGACAUAAUGAGCCUGAUUUUCAUGUGAGGUUUAGGUCAACUGGAUCACCUCCAAUAUGGUCACUCCUUGUAGAAAUGGAAGAAGCAUUUUUUAAUUUUAUUUGGAUCUCUGGCUGCAAAAACUUGUCAUUAAGAAACACAUCUUUCCCCAUGCAACUUUAAAGAGUGGAGCUGCUUCUUCUUUCCAAAAAUCUGGAGCAAAUUCUGAAAAGAUAAAAAUAAAGAAGUUUCUAGCCUUUGACAGAACAGGCCUGAAAUGCUGGCCUUGUUUGUCUUUGGGUGCCUGGUGGUGUGGACUCAGCCCCAGAUGCUUGCAGUAGCUUCUUGAAGCGAGGGCCGCCCUGUGCACAUGCUGUCCAGGCCUGACAGCAGGUCCUGCUCUGGGCGCUGAGGCCUCGCAGAUAAAGGAUGAAGCUAGCUCUUACUGCUAGCUUCCUCGGGAACAGAGCUGGGCCUGCAAUACACGUGUAUUUUCCACCUCAAGAUGUGGUUUGUCUUAUAGCCACACCUCCCCCUACUCCCCACCUCAGCUCAAAGAUGGCAGAGUGGGGCUUUGGGAGAUGUUUUCUGUCUCAUUCAGGUGGCCCUUUCCUUUUCCAUAACAUCUUAUUCAAGGCCAGUUCCCACUCUGGGGAGAGAAGUGUUUCCCCAGAGCUGGGUUCCCGCUGAGCUGUGCACGUUUAUUUGGGUAAAAUCAAAGGUGAACAGAGGGCCCUGGGCUUAUAUGUUUUAAGAAAGGGUGUAACCAGAGGAGGACCUCUAAGAGUUCUUUUAUGUCCCCAGCAUUCUGUGAUUUCCGGUUACCGUUCCAACAGUGGUUAGAGGAAGCCUGGGAGAUGCAAAUGUCAUGGCACCUGGGGAAAAUGGUGGAACCCCCAACAGUGGGACCUCAGGUCAUGAGAAUUCACACUAGGCUCCAAGUCCACGAGAGAUAAUAGGGUAGCACGCCGAAUCCAGGCUGUCCUUCCAUCUCGGCUUUGCCACUUUGUAGAAUCAGAGGCAAGUUACUUCUCCCAGCCUCAGUGUCUUCCUUAGUGAAGGAAGAUGUUGUGAGCAGUAUUAGAGGAGUUCAGUGCUUAGCGUAUUGUAAGAUGCCAAUAUUAUUAUCUUUUAAAAGCUCUGAUUAAAAGAACCAAAAGGAAGUGAAGUGUGGAACUGUCUUCUGUGAGCCCUACGUCUCAUCUGGGCUCGUGAUCAGUUGGAGCUGUGUUCAGAGGGAGCUGGAAGCAUCUGGACUCCGUCUUCCAGUGCUGAGGGCUGAGACCUCUCCAGCCUGUUGUGCUCCUUCUUUGACUGUGCUCCAGGGAUCCCACGGUGAGUCCAGCUCCUGAUCUCGGCUCUGGACCUUCGUCCGCGGUAGCAUGGUAUCAGAAAGAAGUUAGCUCACCUGAGGCUUCCUAUAGAGGCUGCCGUGCUGCGGUACCCAGAGCGUGCUUCUGGAUGGCGAUUAAGCAACGGGAACAAGUUCUGGAGGUCUGCUUGGUGCUAAAUCCACACUCCAUCCGUCAGGAUUCUGUGGGUUGCACACGUGCCUCAUCCAUCUCAGCUGGGGAUGCCUCCAGCUUCCCAUCGCAGUUCUCUAAACCCUGAUGAGGUGUGGAGCUUAGAGAGCGUGGAUAACAUGAGCAUCGCUGGGCAGGUGAAAUGAGAAAGCACUGUGCCUGACCCCGCCCCUCUGCCGCCUCCCCCGGCUUCCUAACCACACACAGUGUAGGUCUCACGUUGCUGACUCACACGGCCCACUAGCUGGAGACAUUCUGGAGGGUUGACUGCCACAAGCCCAAAUCAUGGGUUUGUCAUGUUAUUUUCAAAUGUGGUCUUUCCUACUUUCUAUUAUGGAUGUCAGAUUUUCCUCCUUCCCUAAAAGUUAUCUUUACACACACACACACACCCCUGCAUCUGGGUGGGGGGAGGUGGACGUGCGAGACAGCAAAAAUACAUGUUAAAUUCGGGUCACCUUAUGUCUUAGGCUGCUAUAACAAAGUACCGUAGCCUAUUGGCUCACAAACAACAGAAAUUUAUUUCUCACAGGUCUGGAGGCUGAAAGUCUGAGAUCAGGGUGCCAGCAGGGUCAGGCAAGGGUCCUCUUCUGGGCUGCAGACUUCUCGUUGUAUUUUCACAUGGCAGAAAGAGGGUGAGAGAGCUCUCUGGGGUCCCUUUUAUAAGAGCACUAAUCCAACCUCAGGACCUACUCACCUCCCAAAGGCCCCACCUCCUAGCACCGUCACCUUGAGGGGGUAGGAUCUCAACAUGUGAAUUUGAGGGGGACACAGACAUUCAGUCCGCUUCAUGCCAUUUCCUCGGUUCUAGGAGGAACACUUUCUCAUGCUUUAACCAUUUUGAAAUCUCCAUGUCUUACACUCGCCGUCAACUAAGCAGCAGUGUGACAUAGUUGUCAUUGCCACUGUAUGAGCAUCAGAGCUUAGAGAAUGGGUGAGGCUUGGGGGAAAAUCCCAAGGACAACUGUGGAGCACUUUGAAAAGAAAUACGGCCUUACCAAACUCUCCUGGGAGCUCCUGAUGGCUCACAGGACAACGGUGUGUGGGAAAACAUGGAUUUCAAAGGUCCCGCAUCGAAGAGCGAUUUCAAAGAGGUAAAUUCUGACUGUGAAAAUGUUUUACACAUACCUUAACCAAUUUAUUUAGUCUAUAUUUCCCUUUUUGUGUAUGCAGAAAAGUGAUAUAUGAUUUAAAAAAUUCCAUGUCCAAAUAGAUCUAAAAGAGCUCUUUUAAUACAUUUAAAAUAAAAAUUAAAAGUGCCAAGAAAGCAUUGUGACACACGUAGUUAGAUGUCAGCGUUUCUCCUUUCUGAGUGCUCCAUUAACUGACAGCGCAUCUUACACCAAUUUAGUUUAGAUUCCGUGAAAUACAGUAGUGUUUAUGUUUUAUGUUUCAAUAGUCAUCAAUCUGUUUCUAAUGUAUUCAUGGAAAAAUAUGUGAGCCAUCUUGCCAUUAAACUGUUUUUGAAAUCGCGUGGAAGCCUGCCCAUGUCUUUGUAAUUUACUUAAGAAACUCUCUUGCUUUCGGGAGGACGAGUUUCAAUAUCGUAAGGCUCUCUCUCUGGGUAUAUUUUUGGUUAAGUUUUUGUUAAUCCUGGCAUUUGUCUAAAGCAAUGAAAGGCAAGUGAAAUUAAAAUGCUCACAUUAUAAAAUGUGCAAUCCGGAGAACAAAAACUCAGUUGUGCAAAGUUGGUGUGGCUUUGAUAAAAACAGUUCUGGUCAAAAGCCUGGCCUGUUGGCUCCAGCAGUGACUGACUUACGAUGAGGGACACAUAUGUGCGUCCUUGAGUUUUCUUGGUGGGGCCCAUGGAUUUAUUUAAUAUAUUUAAAUAGAAAAUUUUACCCUUAUCAUUGCUGCUGCAGGUGUAUUUAUUUAUACUAUCUUUGCUUUUAGAAAAACACUGCUAUAUCAUAAAAAUAUUUCAACCUUAAAUUACUUCCCACAAGCCUCAAGUUUCAGGCAGUUCAUAUCUGGGCAUAAAGAGAAAUCAAUGUAUUCUGGCUUGAAGGGCAAUGGAGUUUGGUAUUUGUCACACUUUGAGAGAUAACAAAUGCCUCGCAUAAAAUAGACCCAUUCUUUCCACUUUGCACCGUUGUUUCAGUCCGGCACUGCCACGCCGUCAUUAUGUCUGCGCUGACAGCGGUGUCCAGGCUUGCAGGAAACUGCGUUUCCGAGAAAGCUGAAUGCAGACGUCCCCCGAUUGGCGUGCACCUGCGCUAACCAGAGCUCCCACCUGAAACGAGCUCCCUGAUCUGGGGUUUGGUGCCCUGUUGGCUUUUCGAACAAACGGCUGCUCUCCCUCCCCCGCUCCCCUCACUGAAGCCCAGAUGCUCAGUGUCCCCUCCCUGCCCACUGUGGCGGGAGCCCAGGUCCCUCCUUCCGUGUUCACUCUCCUCCCUACCGUCCGAGAGCCGCUAGGGCUCCAGGUCUGGGGUCAGAGAUUGCUCCCACUGUCCCAAUACCUUGAUGGGGAGAAAGGUUUCAGCCUCUCUGAUCAGGGGGCUCCCCUGCUUGAAAGCCUUUAAUGGCGCCCGUUGUCCUGAGGGUCAGGUCCAAGCUCCUAAAGCAGCUCCCCAAACCCUCCCUCAUCUCCCGGCGCUUCUGCGCCCCUCUGCGGCGCCUGCCUCAGUCCCCAGCCCUCCGCAGCCGUUCUCCUCCCGCUGGACCUGCGUCCAGUCCCCCGACCUGCCACCCUAUCCCUGGCUCCCGCUGUGUGCGCAAGGCCUAGAGGGGGCUCAACUGGUUUUGGGGAGUCCUGCAAACGCACUGCCCCAAGCCUUGCGGUUUUGAUGGGAAAACACAUUCCAAACCAGCGUUCAAACCCGCGUGUGGGGCACAGACGCGGCCUGCACGCUUUGUUAAAGGAAUCCGGUUACAUUAGAAGAGGCUGGGCCCCGCCGCCAACCCCCUGCUCCUGUAAGAACCCCUGUGUAGGGAUUCUUACCAGAAGCUUCCAGCCGCCCACAGAAGCCAGGCCGACAUUCCGUGCCCGCCGUCUGGCACGUGAAGGCGUUGGGAACAGAAGCGGGAACGCGCCCCCUCGCGCCGCGCGGCUCCACAGCGCGCGUCCUCGGGGCCUCCGACAGGCCACCUGGGCUGCUGCGAGCUCAUUCUCGGGCGUUAACAGGUGUGGAGCUGGUAUUUAUCCGCAGCGGCGUUUCCCUGUGCGGCCGCUGCGAGCUCCCAUCUUCUUCCUAACCGCCGCAGGGCACCUUCGCUUCCCCGUGGUUCAAACAGCGCAGGAACUCUGGCUGGCUCAAGGUUUCUGAUGCCACAUCGGCAAACAUUUCUGUUACCCUUAACGAAACCAGCAGGUGACUUUUCUCUGGCCACAGUGAAAGCAGAGGCCUGCUCAGGUAAGUCCGGGACAGCGAGCCAGAGUCAGGGCCAUCCCAGGGGCGCAGAAUCUCAGGGGAGAGGACCACAGGGUGGGCCCUCUGGAAGCAUUUUCAUGCAGCUGAAGAAGGAAAGCCUACAGGGCCUCUUGGCUGAAGUGAAGAAGUGACUCUAAGCAGACAGAGAGGAGGAGGGACUCGGCGCCUGUGUGUGUGUGUGUGUGUGUGUGUGUGUGUGUGUGUGUGCAGGGUCUCUGUGGAUUGGUGACUAUGAUGAGCCUCAGGACUCACUCAGCAUCUGCUGAUGAGUUUGCCUUAUUUCCUGACCGUUUCCCAGGUCAAGUCUCUUCCUAUGACACCUACUGUUUCUCCAGCGCUCCCUCUAGCUCCAGGGCCGUCCUAGGACGUUCAUACAUGAUCUCAUUUAACCCCCAGACAGGCCUGCGGCCAGCACUAUUACCCCUCCUUAACACAGCAGGAGACGGAGCUUGGGGAGUUGACGCUACUUUUCCAAAUCCUGAAGCCAAGUCCCCAGGAUGCCACCGCCCACAAGCUGUUCUGCCACCGUUGGUCUCCCUGGGGACCAUAUGGAGAUGGGGGCCACGUCCCCUCCAAAGAUGCAGUGGAGGAAAGAGACUAAGAGCACAUUCCCAGACUUCUCAGCAUCCUUCAAAAUGUGUUUUCAGAAAUCCAGGAAAAAUGGCUGCUUGCUGAGAUUUGGGGAUAGAAAGCCUAUUUGACUGGUGAGACCUUCCUACUCUCUCCUUUUCAUUGCCCUUCUACAUUCAGUUAGCCACCUUACUCUCCUGCUUAACCCCUUUGAAUGGUGCCCAUUGCCCUCAGGGUCAGGUCUCACUCCUUAGGAUUCCCAGAUCUUCCAGAACCCUUCACUGUCAGAGCAAGCCCACUACAUUCUGUAGUUUAAAGGGUGGCAAUAAUGCCGUUUCAAUUAAACCCCUCUCAGGAAUGACUGUCAGACCUGGGUUUGUGUGAGAAAGACAUUGGGUGUUGCUGGUGGAAAGGACUUGGUUUGAGUGACUCAGGACUUGCGAACAGCUCUUACCUCAACGGAACAGUUCUUCAGCUUCUUGUCAUUUCCUGCAGAAUCCUUCAGUGUACUCAGCCUUCCCGGAGCUGGGAUGAGUCUGGCUGCUUGGCUGGGUCCUCCUCCUUUACAGCCAUCCCAGCACCCAGAGGGCGGGUCUGGUAAGGUGCGGCCUUCAGUGUGGGGGCGUGUGCCCACUCCGCUUCCUCAAAUGAGCAGCUGCCUUUCGCUGCUGGGAAAAUACUUAAGUUUUGGCUGUAGCUGAGAGAGUUUGACAAGCCUUGCAAGGCACAAACAUUCUUUAUCUGCAGGAUGAGGUUAGUUUCUGUUUGGGCCUGGUGUUUUUGUAAGAAGGAAAUCGCUUUCAUAAGCAUCAGAUUAGCUCCAGGAAGCAUCGCAGGACAAUGAAAAGCUGGUAGAGGCAGAACGUCAGGAUUUUCUCAUUGGUCACUACUGCCACCUCCUGGCCAAACUUGUGAACUACACAGUAUGGGCUUCCUAGGGAAACUGUACGUUACUCAUGCCACUCUCCCUCUUUCUGCCAGUUCUCUGUGGUGCAAAACGGAAAUGAGAAGAAUUAUUUUUUAGAUGGAGUGUUUAUUGAUAUAUAUAAUAUUAGCAACGACGAUAAAGCCGACACAAGAAUGAUGAAUAAACACACGGUGGAUUGUUCUCAAUAGGGAAAAGACUUUAUCAAAGCAAUUUAUUCCACCUUCUGACUCAGUGUUAGCUUUGUCUAAAGUAAGUCUUCAGCCCUUUUCUGAGUUGCUAAGACCUCCUGCCUGCUCUCCAAAGCUGACUUCUUAGCAAAUUUAGGUUAAUCUACCAACCAUUUUGGACAAUCAGUAAAAAAUUAAGGACUUAAGUGAAAAUUGUAGCAUAAAAAAUUAUUGAGUCUAAAGCACGUCUUUAUGCAAUAAAAAAUAUAAGAUUUGGUAUCAGUUGUUAUCCUUAUUUCAUAUUGGUUUUAUUCUUAGGAUCUUACUUUCUAGAAAUUUAAAUUUUGAGUUAGUUGAAGGAUUAUUGUAGUACACACAGUACACGUAUAUUGACAGAGGUAGAAAUAAGUUUUUCCAGUUAUUUAAAUUUUAUUUUUUGGGGGGAGGUUGUGUUUUACCUUUAAUAUCAAAUGUGCUGAGAUCCACAGGGGUUUGAUUUCAGAACCGUGUUAAGGAUAUUGGCAGAGAUUUCUCAGAAUCUUUUCUCCCCUUCUUCCUCAACAACAGAGUCUUAGCCAGUCCGGGGCCACUGUGUUAAUCUGGGUGUUCUGAAAAGCAGAUGCUAAGAAGAGACUAAACAUGUAAGGAAUUGUUUAGGGGGAAUGUCUAUUAGAGAAGAUGGGGAGUGAAACCAGACCACAAUGCAGGUCUGACCCCAAGUGCAGGAGACGGGGAGGGCAGGCAGGCUGGGUGCAGCCUCUUAGGCGCCAGUGCAGUUCUCAGGAAAGUUCUGCAAAGCUGCUGGGAUCCUUGGGAUAGGCGGAUUUCAGAGAUGAUACCCGAUGACCUCUGCCUCCUGAUACCCAUGCCCUUACGUAACCCUUUUCCUUUGAGGGUGGACUACACCUGGUGACUAGCUUCUAAGGACUAGAAUAUGACAACGUGAGGCAUGUCUCUUUCCAUGAUGCUUAGGAAAGACUGUGACUUCCAUCUUACUGGACUCUCUCUCUUGCUAAUUCUGAUGAAGCAAACUGCCAUGUUGGAAAAUUUCAUGUAACAGGGAACUGAGAGCAUCCUCCAGCCAACAGCCAGGAAAGAACUGAGGCCCUCGGUCCAUCCGUGAGAUGCUCAAUCCUGACAACCAUCGCGAGCUGAGCUUGGAAGCAGAUGCUUUCCCUGUUAGGCCUCAGAUGGGACCACAGCCCUGGCUGGCCAGUGAGAGCUCUUGAUGCAGAGGACCCAGGCAAACUGUCCCUGAUCCCUGACCUACAGAGACGAUGGAAAAGAGGCUGGAGCUUAUUGCAGCUGAGGGACCUGAAGACAGUGUGACUCAAUCUUGGGUGCCUCUCCAUGAUGUGGGGCUUUGCUCUCAGGCAGUUACAAACCAUCCCUAAGCGUCUACUGGUUCCUAGCUCAGAACGUGGUCUUUUCCCCACAUCUGUGGCCCUCUAUGACCACAGAAUGGAGCCGUGUGGCUGACUGGCACCAUCGGCAGCUGAGCUUCAUGUGGCUGCCUCCAUAUCCCACCUCUUCCCUCUCAGCCUUGGGGCCCCCAUGCACCUGUGUCUCGGAGGAUUUGGGGGGCCCUGGGAGUUCCUGGGUCGACCUGGGAAUUCUGAUAAGACUCUGAGCAGCCACGCUUGCUCUUUCGCUGGAUUUGGAUCUCCAUGUUGGCCCAUGUGCUAGGCCACUGAGAGCCUUAGAGACACUUGUGUUCUGUUCUCAACAAGAAGGGAAGAAUAAAGGCCCUAAUGAAAACUGGGAACGUUUUAGAAAAUCUAACUUUCCAGGCCUACAAACAUAAGACAGGAAAGUGAGUGUAAGCCUGGAUUUGUGGUCUACACCAUAAGAUUUGGAGCUCUGCGGGUCCCUUCACAGGAGCAAACAGCAUGUGAAUCACCUUGCGUGCCCCAAAGCUCUGAGCAGGGCUGGCUGGCGGGGAGAAAAGCUGCAGCAACAGAUGCUUUUGGGGCAACCAGGUUGUCAACGAGCUCCCAAGAAGCCACUGGAAGAGGAGACUUGGGAGGACAGGGGAUGCGACAAGGAAAUAAAGAAAGAAAUCCGGGCGUAGGUUCCAAGGCAGAGGAUGGCACGUUGUGGGCAGCCUGGCCUUCUUGCCGUCUCUCCCUGGUCUAACCGUUUAGAUCAAUGUAAACUUUAGGAAUAGAAGAGCUGAAAAAAACAAGCUAAGAACUGACUGAAAGAGUGUGCACUUCAUCAAAGCUGCUCUGUUUGGUAUUUCUGUUUCAUUUCUCAAUCAAUGAUCAAAAUUUAAAAAUAUCCGCAAAGACGUUUUAUAAAUUGUGAUAAAAUAUACAUAACCUAAAACUUAUCAUCUUCAUCACUUGUUCAGUGGCACUAAGAACAUUUGCAUUGCUGUGCAGCUGUCACCACCAUCCAUCUCCCCAAGAUUUUCAUCUUCCCAAACUGAAACUCUGCACCCAUUAGACACUAACUCUCCAUUCCUCCCCCUCCAGCCCCUGACACCGCUGUUCUGCUUCCUGUCUCUGUGAAUCUGACUGCUCCAGGGACCUCAUAUCAGUGGAAUCAUACAGUAUCUGUCCUUCGGUGACUGGCUUAUUUCACUGAGCAUAGUGUCCCCAAGAUUCAUCCAUGUUGUAGCAUAUGUCAGCAUUUCCCUCCUUUUUAAGGCUGAGUAAUGCUCCACUGUAUGUAUACACCACAUUUUCAUUAUCCAUUCGUCCAUCAAUGGGUUAUUUCCACUUUUCGGCUAUUGUGAAUAAUGCUGCUAUGAACAUGGGGUACAAAUAUCUGUUCAAGUCCCUGCUUUCAAUUCCUUUGGGUCCCAGAAAGGAAAUUGCUGAAUCAUGUGGUAAUUUUAUUUUUAACUUUUGAGGAACUGCCAUGCCAUGCACAAAUGCUUUAACACUGACUCUGCCAGCUCAGACAAACCAUUCUCUCUGUCUAACUAACUGUGAGUGAUUCAGGAUCAUCAGGGACUUGCUGUUACUUGGUAGCGCUGGGUUGGAAUAUUUUAAUUUAACAAGGGAUUCAUUUCAAUUUUUAAAAAUCUAGGAAGAAUCUUGCUGAUGUCAGCCCAUCCUUUGGGGGCAUGGCCGUGUCCCCCAAUCAGGUUUGGUGAGGAAGACAGAAUAAGAGCGCUGGGAGAUGUUCCCAUCUCUAUUCCCAGAACCUGCUACCUUAUAUGGUAAGAGGGGCUUUGCAGGUGUGAUUGAGGACCCUGAGACCUGGAGAGGAGCCUGGAUUAUCCAGGCGGUCCCAGUGUAAUCACAGCAUCCCUCUUGGUGAAUGAGGGAGGCAGGAGAGGCUCUGAGGAAGAUGUGACUGUGGCAGAAAGCCAUAGAGAGAUGCAGUGUUUUGCAGAUGGAGGAAAAGGCCAUGAGCUGAGGAAUGUGGGUGUUUUGAGGUCAAGGAAAUGGAUUCUUCCGUAGAGCCUGCAGAAUGAGCUGCAAUCCUGCCUUCACCUUGAUUUUAGACCAGCGAGAGCCAUUUCCCACUUCUGACCUCCAGAGCUGAAAGAUAAUAAAUUUAUGUUGUGCAAACCACUGGGUUUGUGGGGAUUUGCUACAGCGGUGGCAGGACACUAAUCCAGAUGGGGCCAUAGGGUCAUGUGUUCACGUUUUGUACUUGCCCUGUGUUUUCGCCAACGAAACCGGAAGUGCCCUGGGAGCGAGCCCUCACAGGGCCUCGUGGGAGGGGCAAGGUGAGCACUCCCUGUGUGUCAGCACAAAGGGGAGGAAGGGCAAGCCGGCCGGGCAGGGCGCAGUGCUGCCUCCAAACACGAGGGCCAAGAGGCUGCGCCUUCUGUAGUUCAAGAGCUCGGACGACAGCCCUGGAGGGGCCGCCGCCCUGCCCACUCAUCCACUGGUCUCCAAGCUUUAUAAAAAACGCGGUUCUGCUAAGAAUAGCUCCACUUAAAUUACUCUGACCAGAUACUAGUUUUAAUGGUAGUAAAUGAGUAAUUUAUUUAACCUCUUUGAACUUCAUUUAAAAAAAAUUUUUUUAAAUGGGGAAUAGUAUUACUUCACAGGGCAGUGAUGACUUUCAAAUUAUCUAAUUUAUGAGAAAGUAUCCAGCACAGUGCCCUUAAAAGCAAGCCCAUAAUAAGCACUUAAGGACUGAAAAAAAAACAUUUCAGAUAAAUGCAGGGUCACAGUGCUCAAGGCCCCUGAUUCUUGGUGAAGCGUUAUCUUCUCUGGUGUGCGCUCUUUCUGGGCUAUGUGAGCAAAUUCGCUGGCUUGCCUUGCAUCAGAGCUCCCUGCCUCAUUCCUUUCCUUUAG